rnacentral:rRNA from 1 species
UACGAAGGGGGCUAGCGUUGCUCGGAAUCACUGGGCGUAAAGCGCACGUAGGCGGCUUUCUAAGUCAGGGGUGAAAUCCCAGAGCUCAACUCUGGAACUGCCUUUGAUACUGGGUAUCUCGAGUAUGGAAGAGUGAGUGGAAUUCCGAGUGUAGAGGUGAAAUUCGUAGAUAUUCGGAGGAACACCAGUGGCGAAGGCGGCUCACUGGUCCAAUUACUGACGCUGAGGUGCGAAAGCGUGGGAGCAAACAGG